AGAACGAACGCUGGCGGCAGGCCUCAAACAUGCAAGUCUAGGGGGCGUAGCAAUACGUCACCGGCGGACGGGUGCGUAACACGUGGGAAUGUACUUACUGGUUCGGAACAACUCAGGGAAACUUGAGCUAAUACCGAAUGUGCCCGAAAGGGGAAAGAUUUAUCGCCAGUAAAUCAGCCCGCGUCCGAUUAGCUAGUUGGUGGGGUAAAGGCCCACCAAGGCGACGAUCGGUAGCUGUUCUGAGAGGAAGAUCAGCCACACUGGGACUGAGACACGGCCCAGACUCCUACGGGAGGCAGCAGUUGGGAAUCUUGGACAAUGGGGGAAACCCUGAUCCAGCCAUGCCGCGUGAGUGAUGAAGGCCUUCGGGUUGUAAAACUCUUUCGACGGGGACGAUAAUGACGGUACCCGUAGAAGAAGCUCCGGCUAACUUCGCGCCAGCAGCCGC
rnacentral:rRNA from 1 species